GGCAGAGGUGCCGAGCGUUAGGCGGAAUCACUGGGCUUAAAGCGUGUGUAGGCGGAUCGUUAAGUACCUUGUGAAAUCCCACGGCUCAACCGUGGAACUGCUGGGUAUACUGGCGGUCUUGAGCCACCUAGGGGCGAGCGGAACAAGCGGUGGAGCGGUGAAAUGCGUAGAUAUCUGGAGGAACACCGGUGGCGAAGGCGGCAUCCUGGACCGAUAUUGACGCUGAUGCGCGAAAGCCAGGGGAGCAAACGGG
rnacentral:rRNA from 1 species